rnacentral:rRNA from 1 species
UACGUAGGGGGCAAGCGUUGUCCGGAAUCAUUGGGCGUAAAGAGCGUGUAGGCGGUUCGGUAAGUCGGCUGUGAAAGUCCAGGGCUCAACCCUGGGAUGCCGGUCGAUACUGCCGGACUAGAGUUCGGAAGAGGCGAGUGGAACUCCCGGUGUAGCGGUGAAAUGCGCAGAUAUCGGGGAGGAACACCUAUGGCGAAGGCAGCUCGCUGGGACGUUACUGACGCUGAGACGCGAAAGCGUGGGGAGCAAACAGG